rnacentral:rRNA from 1 species
UACGUAGGGGGCAAGCGUUGUCCGGAAUCAUUGGGCGUAAAGCGCGUGUAGGCGGUCCGGUAAGUCGGUUGUGAAAGUCGGGGGCUCAACCCUCGGAUGCCGAUCGAUACUGUCGGGCUAGAGUCCGGAAGAGGCGAGUGGAAUUCCUGGUGUAGCGGUGAAAUGCGCAGAUAUCAGGAGGAACACCAAUGGCGAAGGCGACUUCCUGGCCUGUUCUUGACGCUGAGGCGCGAAAGCUAGGGGAGCAAACGGG